UAUUACACACUGGAAGGGCUGGUGCCUGGGACCACCUACCAUAUCAGAGUCAUUGCAUGUACAGGUGGAGGGUGCACCACCAGUCCCCCUAGCACUGCUAGGACAGAGGAGAGUGCACCAGAGGGUGUGCCUGACCCAGUGGUAGUCUCUCCCAGUCCUACAGAGCUCAGGAUUACCUGGGGAGUGCCUCUCUAUCCUAAUGGCAUUGUGUUGCGAUAUGACCUUUACCACAAUGGCCUCAAGGUGUCGCCACCUCCAACAAAUCGCAGCUACUACGUCAGUAACCUCAGACCCUGGAGUCUGAACACAUUCCGUGUGGCAGCCUGCACAGCCAAGGGGUGCGGCUCUAGC